AUUAAAUUAAAAAACUGUUUUUAAUUAAAAAUUAAACUAGAGACAAGGAAGACACUAGAACUGACAUGCCUAAUCCAAAAUUUGGAUUCAAGAUCCUGAAUUUUCUCUAUUUUUAGCAAAGGGGGUCUCAUUAUGUAAACCAUUAGAAAUGAACGAUGGAUCCAAUAUACCAGUACCUUUCAAACAAGCUCCUCUUUACACCAAUGACUCAUAAACAUUUCUUGCCCGAGGCAAUUCUGUGCAUAACGCUGUGCCUUGCAGUAUUUCACUUGAAAGGAGUGCCUGAGGAAUUUACAAAUCAUCUUUUUAUUGUCCUAUUUACCCAGGAUCCUCGCCAAGUGGUCAGAAUUCCUAAAUACAUACCUUAGGCCUGGAGAUGUGUGGAGAGAGGAAGCAUAAGGGCUUGCUCCAACCUCAUUUCAUGGCGUGAGAGAAGUUAGAACCCAGCCAGAGUCUGGCAGUAGGCAGUUGGCUGUUGUCAGCCAGAAUUUGCUGUAUCAGACAGCCCCGAGGGGAGGGACUCCAUCUAUUCCCAAGCCUCCUUCCUAAUUGUCUAGUCCCAUGGCGUUAUUUUAUCUCAAUGGAUUUCUAUAUCUAUGCAACUCUGCUCCCCUCUGGCUCCCUUCCUUCCCAUUUCCCCUGUUUUACAACAUAAACUAACUCCCAGCAGAAUCAGAGUGAUGAAGGGGUGUCUGGUUCUGCAUACAUUACAAGGAUAAAAACUAAAUGCUGGGUGAUAAACACCACCAGACAGCACAGAACGCUCCAGGAGAAAAUGCUCUUUAAUGGAGUUGCUCUUAAAGUGUCUGCAUGUGGCAAGGCUAAAUUCCAUAAAGUCUCGGUUACAGAUCACAGACCUCAAAUGCAUGAAUAUUAAAGAAGAAAACAGCAGUGGAGCAACAAAAACUGAGAGGGGGAAGCUACUAAGAGAAAACCACAUUCUUCAGGCUUACUUCCUUUCAUACGGCCAGUGCUAGGAAAAACCACAAUAUCGAGAAAACUUUUUCUUCUAGAUACACUCUUUCACCCUUGCUGUCUUCUUUCCAUGCUCCUUACUCAUUCUGUUUCUAUCAUGAUCUGCCCACAGAGAUAGGAUCUGAAAAUAGUUAUUUGGAGAGCACAUAAGUGACAUAGCCCCCUGCCAUUUGCAUUUUAAUUGGGACAAAAAGUUUAACCUAAGAAAUGACUCUCCAAUAGUGGAAUUUCAGGAAAGAAUGGGAAAAUGAAGAGUAGGUGGAAAUGGAUGGAAAUUUUGGGAAAUCAAAUCUUUAAAUCAUACCCUAUAAAUGGUUUUCUUCAUUUAUGCAAGUUCUUUUCCACAGGGCUGAUUAAUACUCUAACCAUAUUUAUUUUUUUUCCUUUUCAAUCAUAGGUGUAGAAGCAGGAUGCUUAGAGCUUGGAUAGAUCAAGUUUUUCAAGUAUCGACCCUGUAAAAGUCCAUUUACUAUGAAUAAUGCCUUUCAGAAUACUCCUUCCAUUGCUCCAGCAUGGGGAGGUAUCAUUCUGAAGCCAUUCUUGUUGAACAUGCACUUGCUGUGAGAACAAUACUCAUUUAAAUUGCUGUCACUUUCAAGAUCACGAGCUAAUACCUCCAUGUACGUGUAUUUAGAAUUGAUCACAAACCUAGGAGAAGAGGAGGCCACUACCUGCUUUAUUGUCUAAACAAAUCCAUCGAGAGAUCUUGAGUCGUUUAAUCAUGGUGCUGUCAUUUGGUCUGAAUGCUGCGCUGUGAUUCACUGUUGGUGGGAGGGACUACAGAUAGUUCAGUAGGUGUAUGUGGUACAAUUUCAAGUGAUGCACAACAUACGGAUCGGUUGACUUCAAUUAUUUUCUGGUAAGAAAUAAAUGACUGGACUAUUGCUGAAACUCUGGAUCCCUUGGCUAUAGUUCAUGGGAAUGAGAACAGCAAAUUAUCUGAGUUGUCUUUGGAAGACUACUUUAUCUUCUAACUUGAGAAGAAAAGAUCUAGAGAAACACAAAGCCUUGCUUUCUACAAUGUUUAUGUAAGCAGAUAUCUUGAAUCUAGAUCAAAAGAUAAAAGAAAUCCAAAACCAUUGUCCAUACUAAUUUCUAGUUUGUCUUCAUUUAUAAUUAACUAGGCAGUGCCUGCACAUUGCCAAUAGAUAAACUAUGUAAGAGGACAACUGUAGAUAAGAAUGUGGCGAUUGUAUUUUUGUAUAAUCUAUUAAGAGAACCUUUGUCUAUACAGCACUCAUUUAAAAGAUUAGGAUCUGGACAAUAAUUAUGGAAAACUAAUGCUAUAAACCAGUAAACUUCUCCUUGCAUGAAGAUUAAGCAUUAAAAAAGACUGAAUACAAUUUAGAAAAAACAUGUAAUAAUUGUAUAAUGUUGGAGGUUCCUAAAGACAUGUAAUUGAUGUACACAAGCAUACAGGUGUGUCUUCUCUCUCUCUCUCUCUGUCUCUCUGUCUCUGUCUCUGUCUCUCUCUCU